rnacentral:rRNA from 1 species
AUGGCGCGGGCGGCACACAACGUCUUGAAGAAGUCAGUUUUCCGGUGCAUCGCCGUGCUGCGCACGGUGGUGGCCGCCACUAUGACCGUGCUCAUGGCCGUGGUCAUCAUGUUCGCCGUCGGGGAGAUCCACCGCCCCAAAGGCCUCACCCUCUGGAUCGUCGGCGGCUCCGUCUCGGUGCGGCGAAGCGGUAACCUGACCGAGCCGUUCAACCCGAGCAUCGUCGGCCACAACCUAACCUUCAGCUACAUUGUCCGUGCCGUCAACCCCAGCAGCAGCAUCCGCAUCUUCUACACCGAUGUGAGGGCCCAUCUCCUCGGCAGGAACUCGUCGUCAACGAUGAAGAGCUUCUUGACAAUGACAAUAUUCCCCUCCAUGGACGUGGAGCACCAGUCCACGUUGGAAACUAUAGUUGAGAAGACCACCCAUAUGGAGUUACCGCACGUCCAGCGGUUCUACUUCGAGACGCUCGCCAACGGCAGCAGCAUCGCUGGCGGGUUGUUGAACAUCAUCGGCACCCGCAUCGUCCAGAAUGUUUACACCGGGCGCAACAUGACCGGCAUACGAGCCGUCUACUACUGCACGCCCAUCACCAUUGGCGGUGGUGAGGACGUCGAGCAUAGAUGCGCGGUCGACUUAGCAUGCAGGGAGGAUGCGCCGAUUAUCGUUGGUUUGGAAUGA